AUUAAUAAGCGGAGGAAAAGAAACCAACCGGGAUUCCCUGAGUAAGGGCGACUGAAACGGGACCAGCCCAGCGCAUAACCUCGCGGUCCGUAGCUGGCCGACGAGGGGUGUUGCGUUUCGGUGGAUCCGUCCCGCUCGAGCCGUUUACCGCCUAAGUCAUUGCUUGAAAGCAGCCCCAAGGAGGGUGAUAGGCCCGUGUGGCGGCGCCUGUAAAAAGGGAGAAGGCGGCUCGGGCGGAGGGGUCUUCACCGUAGAGUCGGGUUGCUUAGUACUGCAGCCCUAAGCAGGUGGUAAACUCCAUCUAAGGCUAAAUACUACCACGAGUCCGAUAGAGAACAAGUACCGUGAGGGAAAGUUGAAAAGGACUUUGAAGAGAGAGUUCAAAAGGACGUGAAACCGUUAGAAGCUUAAACGGGUGGAACCGCGAAGGUCGAACGAGGGGAUUCAGCUCGCGGGCCUGUGGCGGGCGGGUGGCGGCACAUAAGAAUUACCGUGAGAGGACCCAGCGUGAUAAAUGUCGUGCUUUAGCUGUGGCCCCGCCCCCGCCCCCGGCAGCCGUCCGCGGGCUUACUUCUCCCUCUAGUAGGUCGCCGCGACCCGUUGUGGGGACCCCCGAGGCCGUGCCGGAUUGGUAGCCCGCAGCCCUUAACCCGGCUGCGGGUGACGACCGGUCCGCGGUUCUGACAGGGCCCCUGCGACGGUCACUGCCAGGAGGCAGGAGGGCAGUUCGCUGCCUCUCUGCCUCUCGCGGCGUGCAAGGGAUCGGUAAUCCACCCGACCC
rnacentral:rRNA from 2 species